UCAAAAUGUAGCUUAAUCAAAAGCAUUUAGCUUACACCUAAAAGAUUUCAGUUACCACUGACCAUUUUGA
rnacentral:tRNA from 1 species